UGGGGAAUUUUGGACAAUGGGGGCAACCCUGAUCCAGCAAUGCCGCGUGUGUGAAGAAGGCCUUCGGGUUGUAAAGCACUUUUGUCCGGAAAGAAAACGCCGUGGUUAAUACCCGUGGCGGAUGACGGUACCGGAAGAAUAAGCACCGGCUAACUACGUGCCAGCAGCCGCGGUAAUACGUAGGGUGCAAGCGUUAAUCGGAAUUACUGGGCGUAAAGCGUGCGCAGGCGGUCCGCUAAGACAGAUGUGAAAUCCCCGGGCUUAACCUGGGAACUGCAUUUGUGACUGGCGGGCUAGAGUAUGGCAGAGGGGGGUAGAAUUCCACGUGUAGCAGUGAAAUGCGUAGAGAUGUGGAGGAAUACCGAUGGCGAAGGCAGCCCCCUGGGCCAAUACUGACGCUCAUGCACGAAAGCGUGGGGAGCAAACAGGAUUAGAUACCCUGUAGUCCACGCCCUAAACGAUGU
rnacentral:rRNA from 1 species